UACGUAGGUGGCAAGCGUUGUCCGGAUUUACUGGGCGUAAAGAGCUCGUAGGCGGCUCAGUAAGUCGGGUGUGAAACCCUCAGGCUCAACCUGGGGACGCCACUCGAUACUGCUGUGGCUAGAGCCAGUAGAGGAGUGUGGAAUUCCCGGUGUAGCGGUGAAAUGCGCAGAUAUCGGGAGGAACACCGGUGGCGAAGGCGGUUCUCUGGGCCUUACCUGACGCUGAGGAGCGAAAGCGUGGGGAGCGAACAGG
rnacentral:rRNA from 1 species